UUUUAGCAACAAGUUGGUCACAGUUGGCACACAGGAUGACGCAGAUGUUACUCCUGGCUCCAUACAAUCUGCAGACCCUUCCUAGAGUUAAGUUCUUGUUCCUGAGACGGCAGUGUGGCCGUUCGGGUAAUCAUAGUAACGGCCCACAUUUCUGGGUGCUCUAAUCUGCCAGCUACUGUACCGUGUUCUCUGUGCCCCCGGUGCCUGCUACAAGUGCCCAUUCAUGGCUUGUCCCUUGCAGAUGGGUCUGCGGGUGCAGAUGUGCCAUGGGAGAUGGCAAUCUCCUUACCAGCCGGGCACAGCCCUUGGGGUCCUAAGGUGUGUCCUGUAGGAGGCAGAAACCUGUGGUGCUGCCUUCACUCUGUAGACUCAGAAGAUGCAGCAUGGUGCCCCUGAAAGGCAUGUCCUCGCUGAGGUGAGACCUCGUUUGGCCUGGCUGAUCGGGGCCCUCUUGGUGAUGUCGCUUGGGGAGAAGAGGCACUGAAGACUAAAUAUUUGUACACUUCCUGUCCGAGGCCAGCCUUAGAUCAGAGACCGUUGAAGAAAGUCCCAAGGCCAUGAAUCGGUGACCCUCAGGAUGAUUUGGGAGCUGUGUUCCCUGAUAUUUCUCACCAAAAUUCUCUUGGUGGUGUUUGUGGAGACCAGAGGGGCAGAGAAUUGAGAGGGAGGUUCCCACAUGAAGCCUCACCACAGCGCCGCCCCCCCCCACCCGCUCAGAGCAUCACCGACUUCACUCUGUACAAGAGGUCAGAGGGAAGCUUGGGGUCCACUUCAACCAGCUCUGCGCAGCAGCACCUGUAGUGGGCCAGCCCUGUGUCCGGAAUGACUGGUAACCAAGAAUUUUUCUCUUGAAUUUGUAGCUGCUUAUCACUUUCCUCCACCACCCAUUUAAUAAACCUUACCCAACGUGCUUUGUCUGCCUUUUGAAUCAGCAUCAAGCCAUGUGCCAGCAAGAUGGCCUGGAGAAGGUGGGUCAGGGGCCAGAUCUCGUUUUCAGACCUAGAGUGUUCUCACUCUCCUGAGAUUUGCCACGGGGAUUGUUUAAAGUGUUCAAUUAGGACUAGGAGGUAAACAAGGGAUGGUAGUUGGUUCAGAUUUAGGAGCCAUGACAGUUGAUGUGUUGAGGGGCAGUCAGGCCAAAGCUUUGGAAGGAGUAGACUUAGAGAGACGGAUGCUGAUGUCAGAAAAAGUGGGGUGUCCUGGACUCUGGGGGUUGGCUCAUGAAAAGCUGCCUGCUGUGUGACCAAACUGUCCAAGUUUGUGAGAUUGAGGGGUUUCCCAGAACGAGGGACUUGAAUUGCUAAAACCAGGUAAGUCCCAGGCAAACUGGGAUGAGUUGGUAGACUUAUAUGGGGUGUAAAAUACAGGGUGUCAACUUGAGAGGACAGGUCCCUGUGAAGGUGGGAGCAGGGUGAAUGGAGCAGCUGCCUUUGGACCCUGGUGUCCUCGGGUUCGGGCUUUUUGGAGAUCUUUGGUUUAAAAU